UACAGAGGUCUCAAGCGUUUGUUCGGAUUCAUUGGGCGUAAAGGGUGUGUAGGUGGCGCCGUAAGUCGGGUGUGAAAUUUCGGAGCUUAACUCCGAAACUGCAUUCGAUACUGCGGUGCUUGAGGACUGGAGAGGAGACUGGAAUUUACGGUGUAGCAGUGAAAUGCGUAGAUAUCAGGAGGAACACCGAUGGCGAAAGGCGGGUCUCUGGGCCGUAACUGACGCUGAGGAGCGAAAGCAUGGGGAGCGAACAGG
rnacentral:rRNA from 1 species